rnacentral:rRNA from 1 species
AACGAACGCUGUGGGCAGGCUUAACACAUUCACGUCGAAAGCUGUAGCAAUACAGAGUGGCGCACGGGUGAGUAACGCGUGGGAACGUGCCCUUUAGUAAGGGAUAACAUCGGGAAACUGAUGCUAAUACCGUAUAUUCCCUGAGGGGGAAAGAUUUGUCGCUAAAGUAUUGACUCUCGUUAGAGUUGGUAGUUGGUGGGAUAAUGGCCUACCAAGCCUACGACCUAUAGCCGGUCUGAGAGGAAGAUCGGCAACACUGGAACUGAGACACGGUCCAGACUCCUACGGGAGGCAGCAGUGGGGAAUAUUGGACAAUGGGCGGAACCCUGAUCCCGCCAUGCCGGGUGAUUGAUGAAGGCCUUAGGGUUGUAAAGCUCUUUCACCGAUGAAGAUAAUGGCGGAAGUCGGAUGAGAAGCCCCGGCUAACUUCGUGACAGCGGCCGCCGCCA